UACGAAGGGGGCUAGCGUUGCUCGGAAUCACUGGGCGUAAAGGGUGCGUAGGCGGGUCUUUAAGUCCGGGGUGAAAUCCUGGAGCUCAACUCCAGAACUGCCUUUGAUACUGAGGAUCUUGAGUUCGGGAGAGGUGAGUGGAACUGCGGGUGUAGAGGUGAAAUUCGUAGAUAUUCGCAAGAACACCAGUGGCGAAGGCGGCUCACUGGCCCGAUACUGACGCUGAGGCACGAAAGCGUGGGGAGCAAACAGG
rnacentral:rRNA from 1 species